UACAGAGGGUGCAAGCGUUAUUCGGAAUUACUGGGCAUAAAGAGCGCGUAGGCGGUUCUAUAAGUCUGAUGUGAAAUCCCUGGACUCAAUUCAGGAAGUGCAUCGGAUACUGGUUGGCUUGAAUCCGGGAGAGGGAUGUGGAAUUCCAGGUGUAGCGGUGAAAUGCGUAGAUAUCUGGAGGAACACCGGUGGCGAAGGCGACAUCCUGGACCGGCAUUGACGCUGAGGCGCGAAAGCCAGGGGAGCAAACGGG
rnacentral:rRNA from 1 species